rnacentral:rRNA from 1 species
ACGAACGCUGGCGGCAGGCCUAACACAUGCAAGUCGAGCGAGGACUUCGGUUCUAGCGGCGGACGGGUGAGUAACGCGUGGGAAUGUGCCCUUCUCUACGGAAUAGCCCUGGGAAACUGGGAGUAAUACCGUAUACGCCCUAUUGGGGAAAGAUUUAUCGGAGAAGGAUCAGCCCGCGUUGGAUUAGGUAGUUGGUGGGGUAAUGGCCUACCAAGCCGACGAUCCAUAGCUGGUUUGAGAGGAUGAUCAGCCACACUGGGACUGAGACACGGCCCAGACUCCUACGGGAAGCAGCAGUGGGGAAUCUUAGACAAUGGGGGCAACCCUGAUCUAGCCAUGCCGCGUGAGUGAUGAAGGCCUUAGGGUUGUAAAGCUCUUUCAGCUGGGAAGAUAAUGACGGUACCAGCAGAAGAAGCCCCGGCUAACUCCGUG